GGACCCGUAGUUCAGUGGACAGAAUACACGGCUCCGGACCGUGUGGUCGGCGGUUCAAAUCCGUCCGGGUCCGCCA
rnacentral:tRNA from 1 species